CCAACCCUGAUGCAGCGACCCCCGCGUGGGGAUGACGCCCUUCGGGUUUUUAAACUUCUUUCAUUAUCGGCGAAGCUCCAGAUUUUUCUUGGGUGCCCGGUAGGUACAGAAGAAGCACCGCCCAAUUACGUGCCAGCAGCCGCGGUAAUACGUAGGGUGCGAGCGUUGUCCGGAAUUACUGGGCGUAAAGAGCUCGUAGGUGGUUUUGUCAACGUUGUCCGUGAAAACUAACAGCUUAACUGUGGGCGUGCGGGCGAUACGGUCAGACUGGAGUACUGUAGGGGAGACUGAAUUCCUGGUGUAGCGGUGGAAUGCGCAGAUAUCAGGAGGAACACCGGUGGCGAAGGCGGGUCUCUGGGCAGUAACUGACGCUGAGGAGCGAAAGCGUGGGGAGCGAACAGGAUUAGAUACCCUGGUAGUCCACGCCGUAAACGGUGGGUACUAGGUGUGGGUUUCCUUCCUUUAGGGAUCCGUGCCGUAGCUAACGCAUUAAGUACCCCGCCUGGGGAGUACGGCCGCAAGGCUAAAACUCAAAGGAAUUGACGGGGGCCCGCACAAGCGGCGGAGCAUGUGGAUUAAUUCGAUGCAACGCGAAGAACCUUACCUGGGUUUGACAUGCACAGGACGCCGGUAGAGAUAUCGGUUCCCUUGUGGCCCUGAAGACAGGUGUAAAGAG
rnacentral:rRNA from 1 species